CAACUCACACAUAUCUAUUUUUAUGGAGAAGUAGAAACCAGAGAAGUUUGACGAAAGACUUUCGUGACAAGGAAGGAAAAAACAACGCAUCACUGAACAAACUUAGCUCUCAUGUAGUCCAGACGAGAAUAGAAUAAACUUUCAUCAUCCCAGGCGUGCGCAUACAUCUUUUUAAAAUGUAGCCGUGUUACUCUUAGAUCCAUACACGUAAGCACUUCAGACGAUAUGGGUGGAACCCAAUUAAUGUAAAGUGUACGUGUCGAUCAACGACCAAUUAAAACUUUUCUAUGGGACCAGAAUACCACUUUUCUUCAGUUUCACGUUUCUAUUGAACAAGCAAGCUUCCAAAGCGUAGUGCCUUUUCACAAAAGAGACUAAAGACAAGAUGAAAUCUUUCAGGAUGUUGUUUCUGUGUGUGAUCUUGGUUCUAUGGACGAAAGAAGUGAUGAGCUAUGAAGAUGGGCCAGAAAACGACCAGGGUACAG